rnacentral:rRNA from 1 species
AACGAACGCUGGCGGCAGGCUUAACACAUGCAAGUCGAGCGCCCCGCAAGGGGAGCGGCAGACGGGUGAGUAACGCGUGGGAAUCUACCCAUCUCUACGGAAUAACGCAUGGAAACGUGUGCUAAUACCGUAUACGUCCUUCGGGAGAAAGAUGUUGUCGGAGAUGGAUGAGCCCGCGUUGGAUUAGCUAGUUGGUGGGGUAAAGGCCUACCAAGGCGACGAUCCAUAGCUGGUCUGAGAGGAUGAUCAGCCACACUGGGACUGAGACACGGCCCAGCCUCCUACGGGAGGCAGCAGUGGGGAAUAUUUGACAAUGGGCGCAAGCCUGAUCCAGCCAUGCCGCGUGAGUGAUGAAGGCCCUAGGGUUGUAAAGCUCUUUCACCGGUGAAGAUAAUGACGGUAACCGGAGAAGAAGCCCCGGCUAACUUCGUGCCAGCCGCCGCCGUAACAC